rnacentral:misc_RNA from 1 species
GGACGUCAUCCCCACCUUCCUCCGGUUUAUCACCGGCAGUCACCUUAGAGUGCCCAACUGAAUGCUGGCAACUAAGAUCAAGGGUUGCGCUCGUUGCGGGACUUAACCCAACAUCUCACGACACGAGCUGACGACAACCAUGCACCACCUGUCACCGCUGUCCCCGAAGGGAAAACUCUAUCUCUAGAGCGGUCAGCGGGAUGUCAAGACCUGGUAAGGUUCUUCGCGUUGCUUCGAAUUAAACCACAUGCUCCACCGCUUGUGCGGGCCCCCGUCAAUUCCUUUGAGUUUCAGUCUUGCGACCGUACUCCCCAGGCGGAGUGCUUAAUGCGUUAGCCGCAGCACUAAGGGGCGGAAACCCCCUAACACUUAGCACUCAUCGUUUACGGCGUGGACUACC